UACGUAGGGUGCGAGCGUUAAUCGGAAUUACUGGGCGUAAAGCGUGCGCAGGCGGUUUUGUAAGCCAGAUGUGAAAUCCCCGGGCUUAACCUGGGAAUGGCAUUUGGGACUGCAAGGCUCGAGUGCGGCAGAGGAGACUGGAAUUCCUGGUGUAGCAGUGAAAUGCGUAGAUAUCAGGAGGAACACCGAUUGCGAAGGCAGCUAGCUAGACCGACAUUGACGCUGAGGCACGAAAGCGUGGGGAUCAAACAGG
rnacentral:rRNA from 1 species